ACGAAUUAUUACAUCGCGCACCAUAAUUUAUUACACGCAGUGUAGAUUAUACCGGCGAAUGUUUUACACGCAAUACUCUAAAACCUGUUGCUCGAUUUAAUAACAACAAUAAUUAAUAACAGGCACAAAAUAUUAUAAGGUAUGUUUUAAUAUUAUAUUAGCCGCGUUUUCGCCGACGAUCCUGUUACGAUAUUAUUUACUAACACCUUCGAUAUUCGAUAUUAUAAGAAUAUUACCAAUAUUGAUUGGAAUCAACGCAACUAUGCAGAAAUCUAGAAUCAAGAAUAACAAUCAUAAUAUUAUUAAUUAUUAUCAUGUCAAUAAGGUCGGGUAUAAUAAUCGUAAAAAUUAUCAUAACACUAUUACUUCAUGAUAGAAAAAUAAUUGUUCGUAAAUUUCACGUUAAAAAGAUAAAAAACAUACGGAUAUAUUUCUCACGGUGGGUGACCCACCACUGUUGUAAGUGAGAAAUUUGGACGGUAAGAUAUGGAGGGUUCUGAGCGGAAUUUGGUUGAUAGUGUUGCUUUGUCAUAUUAUGGUAAAAUAAUUGCAUAUGCAUUAUAUAGUUUCUUUAAUAUCAUUUGUUUAAUAUUGUACCUAAUUUUCGGUUAUUCUCAUUUAUUGGGAAAACUUUUGGGAAAAUCAAAAAAAUGACCUUGCUUAAGAGCCUCCACGGUUCGAUUUUUUUUU